rnacentral:rRNA from 1 species
UACGUAGGUGACGAGCGUUGUCCGGAUUUACUGGGCGUAAAGAGCGCGCAGGCGGUCGUUUCAAGUCGAGUGUGAAAGCCCCCGGCUCAACUGGGGAGGGUCACGCGAUACUGAUCGACUCGAAGGCAGGAGAGGGUAGUGGAAUUCCCGGUGUAGUGGUGAAAUGCGUAGAGAUGUGGAGGAACACCGAUGGCGAAGGCAGCCUCCUGGGCCAACACUGACGCUCAUGCACGAAAGCGUGGGAGCAAACAGGAUGAUGAUACCCGUCGGUAGUCCAGACCCAAGUACCUACUGCUACCGUAA